rnacentral:rRNA from 1 species
AUGAGCCAGCCAGCUGAGCACCCGACUCCAUCGCACUUCUUCACAGCUUGCUCACGCGCCCGCCCGGCAAAAAUGGCUUCCGCUCCCCCGACGCAUUCAAAUGGAGAGAAUAUAUCGGAAAUAGAAAUAGCACGAGUCAAUCAUCCUCCGCCCACAACGCAAGUAGCUAUGAACGGUGUUCAGAAUGGAGUACAUACGAAUCCUAACAAUGGCAGGCUCGCUGAAGAUAAGCAACAAGCUUACCGUUCCUGGUUACUCCUCCUGACGUCAUUGACUGCCACGGUCACCUUCACCGUGGGGCUUACCCCACCUGGUGGUUUCUGGGCUGCAGACGACAAGACAAACGGAUAUGUCGCUGGCAUCUCGGUUAUGCGCGACAAAUUUCCCACGAGGUACUUGGCCUUUUACUACAGCAACACGACCGCUUUCUUCACGUCCUUGAUGAUCAUUGCAAUGCUCGCCAAAAACCAAAAUAGCGAAAACACAAAUAGAGAGCAGCCCGAUGCCAUGAAAAAGCAUGUUUUAAACGGCCUUGUAGUUCUUUGCUUUUUGAGCUUGGGGACCAGUUAUGUCGCCGGCACGUGGGACAGCCCUAGUCGAGUGAUUUAUGUCGUUGCUGUGUUUGUCGUCAACAUUUUGUACAUGUUGCUGCCUUGGUUUGUUAGUUUGAUCCGAAGCUGCAUUCGAUCCAGAAAGCCUUAA